rnacentral:lncRNA from 10 species
AUGCCUUCUCAGAGAUGCUGAGGACAUGAGGCUUUGCUAAUGAGACAUUUAUGAAGAAUCAAUGCAGUCUUUACUAACUUCCUGAGACAAGAAUAUCUGAAAUUAUAAUUAUGAAGAAACUGAUCCUUGGAGACUAAAUAAAAAUCAAUAUGAACAACAAAAAGUGGAUCUGCUCAUCCAGAUGUCCUCAUUGUAGGUUGGGUUCUCCAGGAAGAAGACAGAGAUGGAGCUAGAAGCACAAGAAACUUUGGACGAGUAAUACCUGUUGAAGGAAAAGGUAAGGAAGAAGCAGAAAUGGGCAGAGGGAGCCAUCAGAAUGUGGCACAGAUCUGUCAAAAGGUUCUCCCAGCCCAGUGUGGAACUUUAUGCAAAGUGAUUCUGCUGGAAGAUUUGAACAAAAAAAUGGCUAGGAGCUAGACCAACUAUUUUGCCCAGCUACUGGCUGUGGGUAUCGAUAAGAACAUUCCCUGG